rnacentral:rRNA from 1 species
UACGGAGGGGGCGAGCGUUGUCCGGAAUUACUGGGCGUAAAGGGCGCGUAGGCGGCCUGAUAAGUCGGGGGUGAAAUCCUGCGGCUUAACCGCAGGGCUGCCUUCUAAACUGUCAGGCUAGAGCACAGUAGAGGCAGGUGGAAUUCCCGGUGUAGCGGUGGAAUGCGUAGAGAUCAGGAGGAACACCCGUGGCGAAGGCAGCUCUCUGGCUUCACCCUGACGCUGAGGCGCGAAAGCGUGGGGAGCGAACGGG